CAGCAACCACAGAGACAGUCGGUCUACUAGUACUCGAGCGGCGGACAAAAGCGGGUGGGUUGUGUUUGCACGCGUGGCGUCGCGGUUAGUGAAGUGAAAAGUGUACGUUAAUUUAUCGUUCCCCUCCAGCAUAUUCUUCUCGGUGGAUUUGGUGAGUACCCGUAUCACAGGUCUCAUCGUGGGACAGACAGCGCUGGAGCACCCCUUCGAAAAAAAGUAAAGUGAAGAUACUGUUUCCUAGGUGUUAGGGCGAUAGGUUGCGCGGCUAAUCUUCAUUGCCUUUCAGGUACAAUCUAAUGAAUGUUCUUUUUCAGGUACAUACUAAUGAAUGAUCUAGCCUUUCCCAGAGUAGUAAUGCCUUUGUUAGUACACUGUGGCGGCGACCAGAUGGAAACUCCAAUUUGGUGAAGGAAGACUGUGCUGGUGGCGGGCGUGCUACUUUCAUAUGGAUUGCGUGGGAGAUGUGUCCACUUAUUUUAACUGAGUUGGUGCGUGUCCUGAAGAAAUGGUCGCGAAGACGCAAACUCAAAAACUAGACCAGAGUCGCAAAGGUGUAAAAAGAAGAUAUUUGAAUGGAAGUCGGAAAAUCUCACGGCGUUCUGACAAUGGGAAAGGUGAGGGAAUGGUUCUAUCUUGCCUC